UGUGUUUGAACACUUGGUCUGCAGUUAGUGGCACUGUUUUGGGAGCUGCGGAGUAUUUGGGAGAGUCCUAGCAUCAGUCCAUUUUAUCCAGUAGAUUAUGUUCCCCAGUUAUUCCUUCCUUUGGGUUGCCUGUGCCCUCGGUGAGAAACCGGAUAGUGUGUGGCACACACCUGGAAUCCUAUCACUUGGGAGGUCGAAGCAGGAUGCUAAGCUCUUUGCUUCUUGCUUGGCUACACUGUGAGCGAGCUGAGAGUUCCCACCACCAGAAACUGAGAGGCGACUCUGCCAUACCAGCCAGGAUACAUAGGGACCUUGAACGUGCCAAUAGAAGCCUUCACCAACUGAAAUGUGCCCUGAGAGAAGCCAAUGUCAAUGUAGAAGAAGAUGCUCUGGAUCCUUCCACCAGCAUCAACGUAGAGAAUGAGGACACAGGGGUGGCCUGGCAUGAGCUGCAGCACAGCCAUGCUGUCAAUCAACUCAAAGCUUUGUUGCGCCAACAAGCAAGUAAGGACAAUGAGAUGUCUCCACCGCAAAGACGAAAGAUGUCCCCUGUGCAGCCAGAAUGUGAGGACAAUAGCAUGCCUACUGUGCACAACCUUGUUCCUAUCAUUAAUGACCAGUCUCAGUAUAUUCAUCAUUUAGAAGCGGAAGUUAAGUUCUGCAAGGAUGAAUUAUCUGGGAUGAAAAAUAGGGUGCAAGUGGUUGUGCUUGAGAAUGAAAGGCUCCAGCAAGAACUGAAAUCUCAAAGGCAGGAGGAGACGCUGAGGGAGCAAACACUCCUGGGUGCAUCUGGAAACAUUCAGGAUUCUUGGAUGAAGACAGGAGAAGAUUCUAGGGUGGAUGAAGCUGCAAAGAGACCAUUUUCUCACGGUGAUGCUGAAACUGGCAAAGCCACAUCCACUGGUGAUGCUGAAAAGUGGAAGCUAGAGCUGGAGAGGCUGAAACUCACAUAUGAGGCGAAGAGUGACCUUCUGGAGUCUCAGUUGAUGCUUUUGAGGAAAGACUUAGUUGAAUAUCAGAAAAACUGUGAGGACCUCAAGGAAAGAUUGAAGCAUAAAGAGUCUCUUCUGGCUGCUAGUGCGUCCAGCCGUGUGGGUGGCCUCUGUUUGAAAUGUGCUCAGCAUGAGGCUGUUCUUUCCCAGACCCAUAGCAACGUGCACAUCCAGACCAUUGAGACACUGACUAAAGAAAGGGACGACUUAAUAUCUGCGCUAGUUUCUGUGCGGAGCAGCUUGGCAGAAGUGCAGCAGAGAGAGACAAGUGCCUAUAAACAGGUAAAGCAUGCUGUGCAGAUGACCGAAGAAGCCAACUUUGAAAAGACCAAGGCUUUGAUCCAGUGUGAGCAGCUGAAGAGUGAGCUGGAGAGGCAGACAGAAAGACUGGAAAAGGAGCUUGCCUCUCAGCAAGAGAAACGGGCUCUGGAGAAGGAGAUGAUAAAGAAAGAAAUAGCCAAGGAGAGGGAGGAUGCAGAGUCCAAGAUGUUGAUACUAUCUCAGAAUAUUGCCAAGCUGGAGGCCCAGGUAGAAACGAUUACAAGGGAGAAAAUUUCAGCUGUCAGUCAACUAGAGGAAAUUCAGAACCAGCUUGCUUCUCAGGAAGUGGAUGUCACAAAGGUGUGUGGAGAAAUGCGCUUUCAGUUGAAUAAAACGAAAAUGGAGAAGGAUGAGGCAGAAAAGGAGUACAGGGAAUACAAAGCAAAAUCUCAAAAGGAUCUUGAAAUUAAAGAUCAGACUGACAGGGCAACAGAAGCAGCACCAGAUAAUGUUUUCCUCAUGAAGAAUCACCACAGCAUGAAGGAAAUAGAGAAAUUGAGACUAGAACUGAGCGAGAGCAAGCAGCAUGUGGAACAGGAGCAGCAGAAGGCAGCUCAGGCCAGACAGGAGUGUCUGCAAGUAACAGAGCUGCUGGGCGAGUCUGAGCGCCAGCUGCGCCUCACCAGACUGGAAAAAGAUAGCAUUCAGCAAAGCUUUAGCAACGAAGCAAAGACCCGAGCCCUUCAGGCCCAGCAGAGAGAGCAGGAGCUGACACAGAAGAUACAGCAAAUGGAGGCCCAGCACGACAAAACUGAAAAUGAACAGUAUUCGUUGCUGACCUCCCAGAAUACAUUUCUGACGAAGCUAAAGGAAGAAUGCUGUACCUUAGCCAGGAAGCUGGAGAAAAUCUCACAAAAAAGCAGAUCAGAAAUAGUUCGCCUCAGUCAAGAAAACAGAUAUAUGUGUGACAAGUUGGAAAAGUUACAGAAGAGAAAUGAUGAAUUGGAGGAACAGUGCAUCCAACACGGGAGGGUUCAUGAGACGAUGCAAGAAAGACUCAGGCAGCUGGAUAAGCAUGGCCAGGCCACAGCCCAGCAGUUGGUGCAGUUGCUCAACAAGCAGAAUCAGCUUCUCCUAGAGCGGCAGAGCCUGUCAGAGGAGGUGGACCGUCUGCGAGCCCAGAUAGGGAAACUGAGGCUCAAACAAGCAUAUUCAGCUAGCAAAUAGGGGCACAGCAAAUGGAAUCUAAGUCUGACUCCAGAGCCCAAGCUGUCCCCAUUCAGGUUAGAUAAUGGCGGAAGAGUCCAGUUACCCAGCAUGCCACAAUCUGAUUGCUGACCUGGAUGAAACAGAGUGAAAUAAAUGAUUUACAAAGAGAUAUUUACAUUCAUCUGAUUUGUACUUAAUGUGCCACAGUGCACCGAAACCUCCCCAGGGAGACACCACCUGGGACUGCAGGGGGGCUGGUCCUCAUGCCAUGGUCCUGUCCCUGUGCUACAGACAGGGGGCACUUCAGCAGGAACUGGCUCGGGCUACUUGGAGUGUGUGCUCAAAACAGCAUCAAGUCACUGAUUUCUGUCGUCUCUACUCUAGAGUACAUACGGGAUUAAUAAAAUGACCUCUCUAAAGA